rnacentral:rRNA from 1 species
UACGUAGGGGGCGAGCGUUGUCCGAAGUUACUGGGCGUAAAGCGCGCGUAGGCGGUCAUUUAAGUCUGGGGUGAAAGGUUCAACGCUCAACGUGAACAGUGCCUUGGAUACUGGGUGACUUGAGUUCGGGAGGGGGCAGUGGAAUUCCAGGUGUAGCGGUGAAAUGCGUAGAUAUCUGGAGGAACACCGAUGGGCGAAGGCAGC